CCUACGGGAGGCUGCAGUGAGGAAUAUUGGUCAAUGGGCGAGAGCCUGAACCAGCCAAGUCGCGUGAGGGAGGACGGCCCUACGGGUUGUAAACCUCUUUUGCCGGGGGACAAACGGCGGCACGCGUGCCGUCCUGAGGGUACCCGGAGAAAAAGCAUCGGCUAACUCCGUGCCAGCAGCCGCGGUAAUACGGAGGAAUCGAGCGUUAUACGGAUUGAUUGGGUUUACAGGGUGCGUAGGCGGGAUGCCAAGUCAGCGGUCAAAUACGGGGGCUCAACCUGCGUCCGCCGUUGAAACUGGCGUUCUUGAGUGGGCGAGAAGUACGCGGAAUGCGUGGUGUAGCGGUGAAAUGCAUAGAUAUCACGCAGAUCCCCGAUUGCGAAGGCAGCGUACCGGCGCCCAACUGACGCUGACGCACGAAAGCGUGGGUAUCGAACAGGAUUAGAUACCCUUGUAGUC
rnacentral:rRNA from 1 species